rnacentral:rRNA from 1 species
AAGUCUUUCGGGAUGUAAACCACUGUUAGGAUUACGAAAGGUUAGGGUCUAAUAGGCCCAAAACUUGAUCUAGUCCAGAGAAAGGGACGGCUAACUCUGUGC